AGCGAACGCUGGCGGCAGGCCUAAAACAUGCAAGUUGAACGCCGUAGCAAUACGGAGUGGCAGACGGGUGAGUAACACGUGGGAACAUACCCUUUGGUUCGGAACAACACAGGGAAACUUGUGCUAAUACCGGAUAAGCCCUUACGGGGAAAGAUUUAUCGCCGAAGGAUUGGCCCGCGUCUGAUUAGCUAGUUGGUGGGGUAACGGCCCACCAAGGCUACGAUCAGUAGCUGGUCUGAGAGGAUGAUCAGCCACACUGGGACUGAGACACGGCCCAGACUCCUACGGGAGGCAGCAGUUAGGAAUCUUGGACAAUGGGCGGCAAGCCUGAUCCAGCCAUGCCGCGUAAGUGAUGAAGGCCUUAGGGUUGUAAAGCUCUUUCGGCGGGGACGAUAAUGACGGUACCCGCAGAAGAAGCCCCGGCUAACUUCGUGCCAGCCGCCGCCGUAAG
rnacentral:rRNA from 1 species